AUUGAACGCUGGCGGCAUGCUUUACACAUGCAAGUCGAGCGGUAACAGGGUGCUUGCACCGCUGACGAGUGGCGAACGGGUGAGUAAUGCGUCGGAACGCACCGAGUAAUGGGGGAUAACGCAGCGAAAGUUGUGCUAAUACCGCAUACGCUCUGAGGAGGAAAGCGGGGGACCUUCGGGCCUCGCGUUAUUCGAGCGGCCGACGUCUGAUUAGCUAGUAGGUGAGGUAAGAGCUCACCUAGGCGACGAUCAGUAGCGGGUCUGAGAGGAUGAUCCGCCAACCUGGGACUGAGACACGGCCCAGACUCCUACGGGAGGCAGCAGUGGGGAAUUUUGGAUAAUGGGCGCAAGCCUGAUCCAGCCAUGCCGCGUGUCUGAAGAAGGCCUUCGGGUUGUAAAGGACUUUUGUCAGGGAGGAAAUCCCUAAGGUUAAUACCCUUGGGGGAUGACAGUACCUGAAGAAUAAGCACCGGCUAACUACGUGCCAGCCACCGCGGUAA
rnacentral:rRNA from 1 species